UAUUGAACACAUAUGGUACAAUUAUAUACCUGUAGGCAAAACACUCAUGCACAUAAAAUAAAAACAAAUAUCUUAAGUAAAAUCUAGGGAUCAUUUUUAAAAGCUAAUGUACCUAUAGCACUUAUUACAAUGUUGAAUAUAAAUAACAUUAAUAAAGUUAUUGUGUUUUUAAACAGUUAUAAUUGUUUUAUAUCAAAAUAUUCAAUUAUCAUAGUAACAUUUAUCUAGUAUAUUCAAAGACUCAAAGCCCUGUUCAUGAAUAUCUCCCUUUUAAAAAAGUAUCAAGCUGGGAGGUGGUGGCGCAGGCCUUUAAUCCAUCACUCAGGAGGCAGAGGCAAGCAGGUCUCUGAGUUCAGGACCAGUCUUGUCUACAGAGCAAGUUCCUGGACAGCCAGGGCUACAUUGAGAAACCCUGUCUCAAAAACAGAAAGAAAGAUUGAUUUAUUUAAAACUUUUAUGAAGCAUCAAAUGCAAGGCAUGGUGGCCCAUUUCUGGAACACUAACGCUUAGGAAGUACGAUGGCCAAAAAUGCAAGAUUCUCCUUGGCUAUAUGCCAAGUUUGAGGCCAGGCUGGGCUACAUGAGACCCUGUCUCAAAAAAGCAAAGAAUAAAAAAAAAAA
rnacentral:lncRNA from 1 species